GCCCCUCUCUUCACCCCCUCUCAUCCCUGCUGGACUGUUCUCCUCGUGGCCCCUUCACAGGCACUCAGGCUGGUGCCAGUGUCUCUUCUGACACAACAGCGCCCCCUGGAGAGAGGCUCACACCUGAGUCCACAGGUCCAUAACUGUGGUGGAUGUGGAGGUCAACCUUGUGAAAGAAAAAGUGGGCUGGAGAGUAAGGUACCGAAGGCUCCUGCAACUUCUCGAAGAGCCCUCGAAGAGCCACACACAACAUUAGACCUAAGACAGCUCCCAGCACACCAGCAAGACUCCAAAAAGAAACUGAGGCCAGGGUCGAGGCUGCCUCCCCCAUCUUGACAGAAGUCCUAACGAGUGCUAAUGCUCCCCCACUCCUUCCAAGUCACCUCAUCAGGCAGGCCUUCAUUGGAGCAGGGCGACAGUGUGUCAAGAUAAGACUGGCUGAGAAUGUAGGGGCUUGGGAUUGGCUCGAACACUGUAUAUAAGCUUAUGUGCUGUGCAAUAAACUCAGAUAUACACCCCGA